rnacentral:rRNA from 1 species
UUAAACUGAAGAGUUUGAUCCUGGCUCAGAUUGAACGCUGGCGGCAUGCCUAACACAUGCAAGUCGAACGGUAACAGGAGCUAGCUUGCUAGCUUGCUGACGAGUGGCGGACGGGUGAGUAAUGCGUAGGAAUUUACCUCAAAGCGGGGGAUAGCCCGGAGAAAUCCGGAUUAAUACCGCAUGUGCUCUACGGAGGAAAGCGGGCCUCUACUUGUAAGCUCGCACUUUGAGAUAAGCCUACGUCGGAUUAGCUAGUUGGUAGGGUAAAGGCCUACCAAGGCGACGAUCCGUAGCUGGUUUGAGAGGAUGAUCAGCCACACUGGGACUGAGACACGGCCCAGACUCCUACGGGAGGCAGCAGUGGGGAAUAUUGGACAAUGGGCGAAAGCCUGAUCCAGCAAUGCCGCGUGUGUGAAGAAGG